ACCGUGAGAGAUUGUCUGGAGGAAGCAUACGGCAAAACUGUGAGUCGACGAACAGAAACAGCAUAGAAAGGCCGAGUCUGCGGGUAAGUUGGCACCUGUCUGCGUGCACCGCACAGGCAGGCAACACAACAAAGCCCCGGGUUCAGCCGGAGGAGCCUGUCCCGGUGUUGCGUUGAGCCGGGAGUAAAUGCUGCGGUUGUGCAGUGAAAGUUCA
rnacentral:ncRNA from 1 species